UGAACGCUGGCGGCGUGCCUAAUACAUGCAAAUCGAGCGAACAGACGAGGAGCUUGCUCCUCUGACGUUAGCGGCGGACGGGUGAGUAACACGUGGAUAACCUACCUAUAAGACUGGGAUAACUUCGGGAAACCGGAGAUAAUAACGGAUAAUAUAUUGAACCGCAAGGUUCAAUAGUGAAAGACGGUUUUGCUGUCACUUUUAGAUAGAUCCGCGCCGCAUUAGCUAGUUGGUAAGGUAACGGCUUACCAAGGCGACGAUGCGUAGCCGACCUGAGAGGGUGAUCGGCCACACUGGAACUGUGACACGGUCCAGACGCCUACGGGAGGCAGCAGUAGGGAAUCUUCCGGAAUGGGCGAAAGCCUGACGGAGCAACGCCACGUGAGUGAUGAAGGUCUUCGGAUCGUAAAACUCUGUUAUUAGGGAAGAACAAAUGUGUAAGUAACUAUGCACGUCUUGACGGUACCUAAUCAGAAAGCCACGGCUAACUACGUG
rnacentral:rRNA from 1 species